rnacentral:rRNA from 1 species
UGGGGAAUCUUGGACAAUGGGCGCAAGCCUGAUCCAGCCAUGCCGCGUGAGUGAAGAAGGCCUUCGGGUUGUAAAGCUCUUUUACCAGGGACGAUAAUGACGGUACCUGGAGAAUAAGCCCCGGCAAACUUCGUGCCAGCAGCCGCGGUAAUACGAAGGGGGCUAGCGUUGUUCGGAAUUACUGGGCGUAAAGCGCACGUAGGCGGAUUGUUAAGUCAGAGGUGAAAUCCCGGAGCUCAACUUCGGAACUGCCUUUGAUACUGGCAAUCUCGAGUCCGGAAGAGGUUAGUGGAAUUCCCAGUGUAGAGGUGAAAUUCGUAGAUAUCGGGAGGAACACCUGUGGCGAAGGCGGCCACCUGGUUGGAUACUGACGCUGAGACGCGAAAGCGUGGGGAGCAAACAGGAUUAGAUACCCCAGUAGUCCCUGAGCGGGCUGGCAAGGCGCAU